UUCACUAGACAAGCGGUCUGUCAGGUGUACAUAUUGUGUUGUUGCGAAUAGACGAUUUUGCGUAUUAACUUGUUUUUGAUGUAAAUUGUUUUGCCUCUGUACACGUGGUCCGUUCUGAAGGUGUGGCUACCGUUCUGUGCUGAUGUUUUCAGAGGCUCUGUAGAUAGUAAUAUAUUAUUUUGAUAAUUUAUAAGUUGGUUUCAACCUGUAGUGUAGCAGUAGUGGCCGAGUGCAUCCAUCCGUUAAUGAGAGACACUGCUAUAAUGUCACUUUGUGUAAACUCCCAGAAUCGCAUGAAAAGCGAAGGAAUUGGUUACUGUUCACGUAAAAUGUUCCUGCUUCCCAGUAUAAUACGUCGAAUGAAGUGAAGAAUUAAUUAAUAAGCCUGCAUAUUUUUCAAAAAGUAUCAAUAAAACAUGACAUUUGAAAGCCCCUGUCUCGAACAGAAAGCCAACCAGCUUAAAUAUUAUUACUAAUAUAAUAUUAGGCCAAAUAUCAGUUUACCCAUCACCAACCUUUCCUCUCUGUGGAAUGGUUCUUCACCAUUAGAGAAUAAAGAUGCUACGCUAAUCAUCAAUGAUGUCCAUCAAAAAGUAACAUUGUUGACACAAGUACUACUCAUCAAUCUAGUAAAAGCCCUAAGUCUUAGCUUUCUUGUUUCAACUGUCAAGUGGACCAUCUUCUGUACAUAAAUUUUAUCAAGUUCAAAAUAGAAGGAUAUUUGUCAUUUGGUUGAUUUUUGAAGAAUAAAUAAAAAUUUGAAUGAAUCACUAAAUAAAGAAGUCACACAUAUCAUUUUGGAAGAUCUACAUGAGCAGAAAACUACAAGGUUGGGUAUUUGUACAACCCAAGCUACUGCAGAUAUUAUUUGAAGAAGAAAAUAUUAUUGAUUGAUUUGAGAGUCAUUGAAGGUGUUGAUGAAAAAAAAAAAACUCAGUGCAGGGAUAAUCACUCCACAAACAUUCUCCAGCAUAUUACAGAAGCACCAAUUUAAUUAAACUGUUGUUUUAAAUAACAUUCCAGAAUCAGCCAGCAUUGAUUAUGUUUUUUUUUGUUUGUUUUUUUUCAGAAUUAUGCAUGUGUUAUAAAAAAUUCUUUGAAUCCGAAAUGUUCAAAAUUACAUGAAAUUAUGUAUAGUUAUUGUCUGUUGGCCUGUUUGACAUUAGUGUGUUUUUUUAGACAGACACAUGUAUUAGAAAUUUAUUUCAACUAAGUUACAUGUUGUCAGAAUUUGGAUAUUUAGUAUAGAAUGGAUUGUUUCAUAUUUGUUUGUAUAUUAUGCAGUUUACCUUUGUAAAACCGAAAAUUUUCAUGGAUUGUAUGCAACUUUAUAAUAAUCAUUUUAUUGCUGCAGUAGCUUUUCAUUACAUGUUAUUUAGCGACAAGACUGUUAUGAGAUAUAUUAAAAACUUUUGAAAAGACUAUUCUCAUGC